GUAGGUAUAGCUCAGCAGGAGAGCGCAUGCUUAGCAUUCACGACGUCCUGGGUUCAAUCCCCAGUCCCUCCA
rnacentral:tRNA from 1 species